GACCUGCGCCAUGUUGCCUGUUUCUUUACAUGUGCUGACGAAGAAAAGGGAAGAUGAAGCGUCCAUGUUGAACAUGCCUGGCCCUCAGGUGCAUGGUGCAAGCUGUUGGUGGAUCUACCAUUCAGGAGUCUGGAGGAUGGUGGCCUUCUUCUCAGAGCUCCACUAGACGGUGCCCCAAUGGAGCCUUGUCCUAUCGCCCAGGCUGGAGUGCAAUGGCGCGAUCUCGGCUCACUGCAACCUCCGCCUCCCGGGUUCAAGGAAUUCUCCUUCCUCAGCCUCCCGAGUACCUGGGAUUACAGGUCUUCGAGCUCCAUGUCAUCUAACCCACUGAACAAACGUGAACGUAUCGCUUCUAGAGGCCGUCUAACAACUCAGUUUCCAAAAGUCAACUCCGGAAGACAUGUAUUUUCUAUGAUUUCUUUUAAACAAAUGAGAAUUUACAA